UACUUUUAUAAAAUUUAUUUCUUUAAUCUCUCUGAGCUGAGACAGCUACUAUUAAAUACUUGGAUUUUACUAAAUUUAAUUAUUAUUGAGGACUAUUAAGGAAGUGGUAGUGUAUACUCAAAAAUAGUCAUCCUUUCAUCUAUAAUAUCCUUAUUUCUUCUCUCGAGGGGCGAGGGUGGAAGCCGGGCCUAGCACACACUUGUAUCAUUGAGUAACCCCCAGUCCUCCGUGGUGGCUUUGGCUCUUAGAAUUCAUGUGGUGAGUGGGAGCCCUGACGUGGCACCCCUCCUUCACAGGAUAGACGCGCUUGACCCUCCAUAACCUUGUCCUCCACAGACCGGCAGAGGCAGAGCGAGGACACCUUCUGCAGCCCUGCAUUCCGCAGAGUUCAAGUCAGCCGAGCUGGAGAAGAAAACUGACUGGGACCCCUGCCAGAGAGGACAGGCCAAAGGGGGACAGGUCUUCCAUGGAGGGACGCCUGGACAUGGUCAAGUCACCAAACACGAUGCUUAAGCCACGUCUAGUGCUUCAUGGUUACAAGAAGCGCUCACUACAGCAAUGGGCACGGUGCCCCACAUUUGUGUUCCAGUAGCUGUGAGGUGCGGGCAAGAGGUUCGAGAGUUCGAGGCUACCCUCAGCCACUUCACAGGUUUGAAGGCAGCCAGGGUGACUGGAGACUCUGUCUCAAAAAAAAAAAAAAAAAAAAGAAAAGAAAA